rnacentral:rRNA from 1 species
AUUGAACGCUGGCGGCAGGCCUAACACAUGCAAGUCGAGCGGAUGAAGGGAGCUUGCUCCUGGAUUCAGCGGCGGACGGGUGAGUAAUGCCUAGGAAUCUGCCUGGUAGUGGGGGAUAACGUCCGGAAACGGGCGCUAAUACCGCAUACGUCCUGAGGGAGCAAGUGGGGGAUCUUCGGACCUCACGCUAUCAGAUGAGCCUAGGUGGGAUUAGCUAGUUGGUGGGGUAAAGGCCUACCAAGGCGACGAUCCGUAACUGGUCUGAGAGGAUGAUCAGUCACACUGGAACUGAGACACGGUCCAGACUCCUACGGGAGGCAGCAGUGGGGAAUAUUGGACAAUGGGCGAAAGCCUGAUCCAGCCAGGCCGCGUGUGUGAAGAAGGUCUUCGGAUUGUAAAGCACUUUAAGUUGGGAGGAAGGGCAGUAAGUUAAUACCUUGCUGUUUUGACGUUACCAACAGAAUAAGCACCGGCUAACUUCGUG